rnacentral:lncRNA from 1 species
AUUGUGUGCUUUCUAGAAAGACUUAAUACAAUACCUUCCUCUAUACUAUGUAAUGUUUUGCAAAACAUGGAUCCAACAUUUUGACAGAAAUUAACUAUUUACUUUUUUUUUUUUUUUUUUCUUAGAGGGUUGUUGGUCUACUUAACAGGCCUUUAUAAAAAAAAAAAGAAAAAGAAAAGAAAAGAAAAGAAAUCAUCACAGCACAAAGCUCUUUCUCUUACCAAUAUGAGCUAUUGGAACAGUUGUAAUUAUUGUGAUAGUCUUGUGAUUAUGUAUCCAUCUGUCUGUGUUAUCCUUUUUCCUUAACCUAACUCUCCAUAGUGAUGCCUGCUGCCAGGUUAAGUGUGGUAGAAGCACUGACACAAGACAAGAGUACAAAAGCAAAAACAACAAACAGAUGUGCCAAUCCUUACUGAACCUCUGCACUGCAGAUAGGAAAGAUGCACCCAUCUACAAUACUCAAAUCCUUUUAUUGCAUAAAGUUCUAUAAAGUAUAGUAGGCAACUCAGUUCUCUACAGCAUAAGGUGCUCAGGAUGAGAGAUAAUUGUACAGGCAGAAGGAUUGCAUGGCUCAGCAUACUCCUUUGUUCUCUAGCCAGGGAGACAGUAAGCAAGAAUGGUGUCAUAUCAAGAAUGUCCCAAGUGGAUUAUUCAAUAAGCUGGAGACACAGCAACACUUCAUAAAUUCUGGAUUGGAGGAUUUAACCAUUUCUGAAUUGCAAAGAGAAACAUAGGAAAAAAACACUAUGAACUUCAAAAACAAUUUGCAGAUUAGGACUAAACACUGUGAGCCUUGGUACUUCAGGAAAGAUGAUGAGCUUUUCUUACCGUACAGAGGGAAAAAGAGACAUACAGUGUCUUAGAAAGCAUGCUAAAAGUUAAAGCUAGGUUGUUGAAAACCAUUAUUCUUUACUCACUGUCAUUUGGGUUAGUUGUGCCUUUUUGUCCUGAAACCUGUGUAAAUAAAUAAACCAUUAUUAUUAUUAUUAUUAUUAUU